CACUAUGAUAAAUGAAAGGCCAGCCUAUGGCAACCCAUUCAGUCAGUGUGUAUACAGUACACAUGUAAUAUUCAUUUGAGGGACACUUUUUAAGUAGUACUGUCCAUAAUCUGAUUCUGUGGCCAAAUGUAUCUGAGAAAUUGAUUCCAAAGUUGCUGCCAACUGCUGCCGCACUACAGUAUCCACCGGCCAUUGCACUGUGAGUAUUUGUGUGCUAGAGGAAGUAUUGUAAAUGGCUGGUCUUCUCACCCAAUGGCAGAACAAACUGGACUUCCCUCCACUUUACUCUCCUCCCUUUAGUUUAUCUGUGGAAGAGUACAUUUAAAAUAUAACCCCAUCUGAAACCCCCCACCAGCCAAUCAGCUAGGGAAAGGUCAGAGCCGAUGACACACCCUCCUUUGUUCAAAACCAAUGAGAGAGGAAGUGUGGCAUUUUGCCCGAGGGAAAAACUUACCCCUAGAACUGUUAAUCACGCAUCACUUAACUGUUGCCAAUGUGUUCACAACGGUACACCCUCUGUUGGGCUUUUUACCUCUACUACUCUCAUUUCUUGGUCUAUUUAGUAUGGAUAGUAGACAACAAUGGCUUACCAGACUGAAAAAUGAACUUAGCAACAGUCCUCUGGUCUCAAAUGUGGCUUUUGGAUUUAUCCUCAUGGGACUAGAGAAGCUGGUGGAGUUGGAGUUUGAGUGUCCUUGCAAUCCUAAAUGGAACGGACUGUUUUCAUCUGCCUUCUUCAUCAUUCCUGCUGUCAUGGCUUUCACGUUGAUGCUGAUCAUUCAAGGAUGCAGGUGCGAUACAUGGUGCCGGAAGACUGUGUCUUUUUCCAGUUUUGUUCCUGCAAUCGUCUGGCUGAUCUUGUUGUUCCUCGAUGGCCAGUACUUUGCUUGUGCAAUGACAGACUGGAAGGGCAGAUUUGUCAUAGUUGAUAAAGCAGCACCGCAGAAAUGGUGUGAGCCAACUAGUCAGGGAGAUGUCACACCGCAAGAACUAAUGCUCCGCUCACAGCAGCUAUUUGUUGUGUCUCAGGUUAUAGGUAUAUUUCUUCUCAUAAUCAUCUGUGUGGGACUCAUAGUGUAUGUGAUCAGAGAGAGCUGCCAGCAGGAGUCUGAGAUGCAGGAUGCAGAUGUAGCGGAGCUCACCGUGCUCAGGAUGAGCUCUCUGAGAACCAGGACGACGUGA
rnacentral:lncRNA from 8 species